rnacentral:rRNA from 1 species
UACAGAGGGUGCGAGCGUUAAUCGGAAUUACUGGGCGUAAAGCGCACGUAGUCGGCUUUGCAAGUCGGUUGUGAAAUCCCCGGGCUCAACCUGGGAACUGCAUCCGAGACUGCAUUGCUAGAGUAUGGGAGAGGAAAGCGGAAUUUCUGGUGUAGCAGUGAAAUGCGUAGAUAUCAGAAGGAAACAUCAGUGGCGAAGGCGCUUUCUGGACCAAUACUGACGAUCAGGUGGCGAAAGCGUGGGGAGCAAACAGG